rnacentral:snoRNA from 1 species
CUGCAGCCAAUUAAGCCGACCAGCUCCCUCUCACCAUGGAGGCCCGGUGUGCAGUGGCUGCAGCUGGCAGACCCCUUGGUAGUGCCAGUGGCCGGUGCUUAUACGCGUGGCCCUAAGGGGCCUCUGACACAGCC